UGAAGUGGAAUCUUUCUACAAUCUAGAGACUCUAAUUUAAUCAAAGCAAAGGUGGGGAUUUCAUUUGGUGUAGCAGUUGCUGCUGCAAUAAAAGUGGUAAAAGAAGGCUCAAUGAUAGAAAACUCAUUGUUGUCAAAGCUGAUUGAUUGUGUUAUGUGGAAUCUACAACUGUAUAGGAACCUUGCUCUUCUAUAGUUUUAGAGUUAAGAUGAGGACAAUUUCCAUGUGCUUUUCCAUCUUGCAAGUUCCUAGAUGUAGAAUCCCCACCUUAGCUACUUUUUGGAGGGAAAGCUUCCACAAUUUGAGUAGGACUGACAAAAUCAGUUCUAGCUUUAGGCUACUUGGUUCUAAUAUCCAUGGGCUUGAGAGAGGUUACAAUAGAAAAUGGAGUCGAAGUCCUAUAUUUACAAAAAAGUGAUACAUUUAGUGUUAAUAAGACAGAGAUUAGUCAAUUCCACAAUACUGAAUAUUGUGAAUCAUAAGAUUCACUUCCUAUAGAUUAUUGAAAUAAAACAAAAAAUAUAUAUGACUACCUUCAAAAGAAUA